AACGAACGCUGGCGGCGUGGAUAAGACAUGCAAGUCGAACGCUGAUUUAUAGGUAGCAAUAUUUGUAAGUCGGAGUGGCGUAAGGGUGCGUAACACGUGGGCAAUCUGCCGCAAAGUCCGGAAUAACCUGCUGAAAGGCGGGCUAAUACCGGAUGUGGUCUUCGGGGGGGAUUCCUCUGAAGUCUAAAGUUGGGACCGCAAGGCCCGACACUUUGUGAUGAGCCCGCGGCCUAUCAGCUAGUUGGCGAGGUAACGGCUCACCAAGGCUAAGACGGGUAGCUGGUCUGAGAGGACGACCAGCCACACUGGAACUGAGACACGGUCCAGACACCUACGGGUGGCAGCAGUCGAGAAUUUUUCACAAUGGGGGAAACCCUGAUGGAGCGACGCCGCGUGGGGGAUGAAGGGCUUCGGCUCGUAAACCCCUGUCAUUCGCGAACAAACCCCCGAAAAUUAAUAAUGUUUCGGGUUGAUAGUAGCGGAAGAGGAAGGGACGGGCUAAACUCUGUGCCAGCAGCCGCGGUAAAUCCGUAGA
rnacentral:rRNA from 1 species